rnacentral:rRNA from 1 species
GCAAUCUGCAGUCGAAGCGACGGACGAGAAGCUCGGUUUCUCUGAGUUAGCGGCGGACGGGUGAGUAACACGUGGAUAACCUACCUAUAAGACUGGGAUAACUUCGGGAAACCGGAGCUAAUACCGGAUAAUAUUUCGAACCGCAUGGUUCAAAAGUGAAAGACGGUCUUCGCUCGUCACUUAUAGAUGGAUCCGCGCUGCAUUAGCUAGUUGGUAAGGUAACGGCUUACCAAGGCAACGAUGCAUAGCCGACCUGAGAGGGUGAUCGGCCACACUGGAACUGAGACACGGUCCAGACUCCUACGGGAGGCAGCAGUAGGGAAUCUUCCGCAAUGGGCGAAAGCCUGACGGAGCAACGCCGCGUGAGUGAUGAAGGUCUUCGGAUCGUAAAACUCUGUUAUUAGGGAAGAACAUAUGUGUAAGUAACUGUGCACAUCUUGACGGUACCUAAUCAGAAAGCCACGGCUAACUACGUGCCAGCAGCCGCGGUAAUACGUAGGUGGCAAGCGUUAUCCGGAAUUAUUGGGCGUAAAGCGCGCGUAGGCGGUUUUUUAAGUCUGAUGUGAAAGCCCACGGCUCAACCCGUGGAGGGUCAUUG